GGAACCUGCCUUCCAUGGGGGACAACAGUUGAAGACUGCUAAUACCGCAUAACGCAGCUAGAUCGCAUGAUCUUACUGCCAAAGCUUUAUGUGCUGGAAGAUGGCCUCGCGUCUGAUUAGCUAGUUGGUGGGGUAACGGCCCACCAAGGCGACGAUCAGUAGCCGGUCUGAGAGGAUGAACGGCCACAUUGGGACUGAGAUACGGCCCAGACUCCUACGGGAGGCAGCAGUGGGGAAUAUUGGGCAAUGGGGGAAACCCUGACCCAGCAACGCCGCGUGAAGGAAGAAGGCCUUCGGGUUGUAAACUUCUUUUACCAGGGACGAAGAACGUGACGGUACCUGGAGAAAAGCAACGGCUAACUACGUG
rnacentral:rRNA from 1 species